rnacentral:rRNA from 1 species
UACAGAGGUCUCAAGCGUUGUUCGGAUUCAUUGGGCGUAAAGGGUGCGUAGGUGGCGCUGUAAGUCGGGUGUGAAAUUUCGAGGCUUAACCUCGAAACUGCAUUCGAUACUGCGGUGCUUGAGGACUGGAGAGGAGAAUGGAAUUCCUGGUGUAGCAUUGAAAUGCGUAGAUAUCAGGAGGAAUACCGAUGGCGAAGGCAGGUCUCUGGGCUGACACUGACGCUCAUGCACGAAAGCGUGGGGAGCAAACAGG